rnacentral:lncRNA from 10 species
UAGUCCUCGCGCCAGCCCUGUGAGGUGAGGCAGCCGCUGGUGUGCUCCCCCUUUACAGAUGUGGAAUGCUGAGGCUGAGAAAGGUUAAGGAGCCUGCCCAGGGUCAUGUGCUGAAGAAGUGGAGGAGCUGGAGCUGGGCUGGAGCUCAUGUCUGCGGUCUGUUCUGAGCCAAGACGAGCACUCAAGGUAGGGCAUCGAGCUGGAGGGGGAGGUACUGCCCGACGCCACCCACUGCCACUGCUGUUCCAGGCUGUGCUCACUCUGCCUCCCUGUCCGGCAUGUCUGUGCCUUCCCUAGAGCUGGAAGCAGGGUAUCUUAUGUGACAAAAGCCUUCUUUCCAAAGCCUUAGAAAUAACAGUGUGUAGCCAAGCGUGGUGGCUCACAAUCCAGUGCUUUGAGAGGCCACGGUUGGAGGAUUGCAUGAGGCCAGGAGUUUGAGACCAGCCUAGGCA